CUCUCCCCUGCCGUCGUCUCUCUUCUUCUCUCUCUCGCCGUUGUCUCUCUUCCGUUCAAGAACCUAAAAGUAAGGCACUUUGGUGAUUUUCAAGGUAGCUGAAGGCUAUAUAAAGGGAAAAAAUUUGGUUAAGAGAAAACCAGUCUUUAUACAGCAACAUAGUACUCUUCUAUGGAAGAAAACACAAUACAAAGCAUGAGUUUAAAUCAAAUUCAAGUUUGAAGGAGGAUUUCUUAAGGUAUGGAUCUUGAUGAACAAUGUGCAUACCACUUUGAGUUAAUUGUGGAUCUUGAUGAACAAUGUGCAUUUAUUGAGGUUAGCUGAUGGGAUGGCAGUGGCUUGACAUGGUGGCAAGUGAUCGGUGAUUUGAAAUGCUCUCAACUUUCUAGAAGAAAGAUUUCCAGUUGUGUAUACCUUUUCUGAACAUUUAGAUGGCACUUUUAAAAUGUUUAAUUUUCUGAGCCGUCUAGUUUAAUAUACAUUUCAUGUCAGCCAUAAUUUGAAAAUACUGAAAUGACUAUGCAUAAAGUUUAUUUGUUGCUA